rnacentral:rRNA from 1 species
AGCAGCCGCGGUAAUUCCAGCUCCAAUAGCGUAUAUUAAAGUUGUUGCAGUUAAAAAGCUCGUAGUUGAAUUUCGGGGUUCUACCGUUGGUCGGGCUAUUGUCUGUACUGGCGUGUAGAAUUUCUACCUUCUGGGGAACUAUCAUGUUAUUAAUUUAGCGUGGUAGGAAACCAGGACCUUUACCUUGAAAAAAUUAGAGUGUUCAAAGCAGGCUUAUGUCUGAAUACAUUAGCAUGGAAUAAUAAAAUAGGACGGUGGUCCUGUUUUGUUGGUUUCUGAAUCACCGUAAUGAUUAAUAGGGAUAGUUGGGGGCAUUAGUAUUCAAUUGUCAGAGGUGAAAUUCUUGGAUUUAUUGAAGACUAACUACUGCGAAAGCAUUUGCCAAGGAUGUUUUUCAUUAAUCAAGAACGAAAGUUUAGGGGAUCGAAGACGAAUCAGAUACCGUCGUAGUCUUAACCAUAAACUAUGCCGACUAGGGAUCGGACGAUGUUAACUUUUCUUGACCCGUUCGGCGCCUUAC